rnacentral:rRNA from 1 species
ACCCCGGGAAGGCAUACGAAACGGCAUAUCUAGAGAAUGUGAGAGAUCGGUGGAAUUCAUGGUGUAGUAGUGAAAUGCGUUGAUAUCAUGAGGAACACCCAAGGCGUAGGCAACCGAUUGGCACAUUUCUGACGCUGAGCUACGAAAGCGUGGGUAGCGAAUGGGAUUAGAUACCCCAGUAGUCCACGCCCUAAACGAUGCAUACUAGGUGCAGGGAGAAUCGACCCUUUCUGUGCCGUAGCUAACGCGUUAAGUAUGCCGCCUGGGAAGUACGAGCGCAAGCUUAAAACUCAAAGGAAUAGACGGGGAUCCGCACAAGUGGUGGAGCAUGUGGUUUAAUUCGACGGUAAGCGGGGAACCUUACCAGGUCUUGACAUGCAGCUGCAAACUCUGGGAAACCAGAGCCCCUUCGAGGGUGCUGCACAGGUGCUGCACGGUUGUCGUCAGCUCGUGCCGUGAGGUGUUCACUUAAGUGUGAAAACGAGCGCAACCCCUAUCAUUAGUUACAAGUGUCUAAUGAAACUGCCGGCGUUUAAGCCGGAGGAAGGCGGGGAUGACGUCAAAUCAGCGUGGCUCUUACGACUUGGGCGACACACGUGCUACAAUGGGGUAGAACAAAGGGACGCCAAGGAGCAAUCCGGAGCAAAUCCUAUAAAAAUACCCCCCAGUUCGGAUUGAGGGCUGAAACUCGCCCUCAUGAAGCCGGAAUCGCUAGUAACCGUAGAUCAGCCUCGCUACGGUGAAUACGUUCUCGGGUUUUGUACACACCGCCCGUCAAGCCAUGGAAGCGGGAAGCGGAUAAAGCGCCAUUUUUUGGUUCUAAUCCGAAGCUCGUAACUGGGGCUAAGUCGUAACAAGGCAUCGGUAGCGGAAGCUGUCGAUG